AGAAGCCUCAAGCGCUUAACCUCACCACAGUAUUGUUCAAAGAAAGCUUUUAUCUCUGUUUGGGUAACCUGUUUAUCAAUAUUUGUACAAUACACUGUUCUUCCAACCAUCUCUCGUUCACCUUCAGACUGUGGAAGGAACUUUGGAUUGACAGGGACAAUUGCUGUUUUUGAGGGUAAGACUCUGAGUUGGCAGUAAUCUAUGACGGCCCCGCCGAGGUUCAGUGCAGCCCUGGCUUCACUCUCUUUGGAAAACUCUAUGAAUGCAAAUCGCAGAGGUGAGCGGGGGUCGCCACAAA
rnacentral:misc_RNA from 1 species